AUAACAGGCACAUAUGCAGUUUUCUUUGCCAUGUUCUCACAAUUGUACUUGUUAGGCUGUUUCUGCAUUUUCCUUUUUCCACUAGCUGAUCGUUUGAGUGUUUUUUUUAUCUUUAGUUUCACCGAUUUACUUCCUGGUAUGACUGAAUAAGAUUGUGCUCACAACAGUUCUCUUUGAUUAUGCACUAUGCAGGUAUUGCAAUGGAGCUUUUUCCUUGGAAUAGGUUAGAAUCCAAGACUUUGCACCGAGGAAAAAUGGGGAAGUUGUUCCUUCGAUAUGCUCGGAUAUUUUUAUAUAUUCUGUCUCAUAGAGAUUUUGUUCGGGGAAUCCUCGUACUGUAGAUGUUUGAGUAAUGGAAACAGAAGUAUAGAAAAAGGGUAAAGGUUGAAAGAGUUACGGUGUCUUACAUCUCUGUACAUGGAAAUCAAACCACCUUUCAAAUUAUAUUGGCAGUAUUCUCACUUUUUAAAGUAGUUGACAUUAGAUGAGAUUGUAGCUUAUCUGUAGGAGAUGAGUUGUGUUUGCCAAUAAAAUGUGAUGAUUCUACCUGAAGAAUUCCAUUUCAAUGUGAAGUGGUAUUCUCUUCGUGGAGUAAAUGCUUUAUUCAUUUACAUGAUCUUGAACUAAUUUUCUUGAUUGGAUUAUUACCAAGUGACGUGAUGCCAUCUACUAUUGUGAAUCUUAAAACAACCGUUGACAUGUCCAUUCGAUCGUACAAGAGUCUCAAGUCUAAAAACAAAAAUUUG
rnacentral:lncRNA from 1 species